rnacentral:rRNA from 1 species
CAGCAGCCGCGGUAAUACAGAGGGUUCGAGCGUUAAUCGGAUUUACUGGGCGUAAAGCGUGCGUAGGCGGCUUCUUAAGUCGGAUGUGAAAUCCCUGAGCUUAACUUAGGAAUUGCAUUCGAUACUGGGAAGCUAGAGUAUGGGAGAGGAUGGUAGAAUUCCAGGUGUAGCGGUGAAAUGCGUAGAGAUCUGGAGGAAUACCGAUGGCGAAGGCAGCCAUCUGGCCUAAUACUGACGCUGAGGUACGAAAGCAUGGGGAGCAAACAGGAUUAGAUACCCCCGUAGUCCCUGUCUCUUAUAC